rnacentral:rRNA from 1 species
AACGAACGCUGGCGGCAUGCCUAACACAUGCAAGUCGAACGAGACCUUCGGGUCUAGUGGCGCACGGGUGCGUAACGCGUGGGAACCUGCCCUUAGGUUCGGAAUAACUCCCCGAAAGGGGUGCUAAUACCGGAUAAUGUCUUCGGACCAAAGAUUUAUGGCCGUUGGAUGGGCCCGCGUUGGAUUAGCUGGUUGGUAGGGUAAAAGCCUACCAAGGCGACGAUCCAGAGCUGGUCUGAGAGGAUGAUCAGCCACACUGGGACUGAGACACGGCCCAGACUCCUACGGAAGGCAGCAGUGGAGAAUAUUGGACGAUGGACGAAAGCGUGAUCCAGCCAUGCCGGGUAAGAGAUCAAGGCCUUAGGGUUGUAAAGCUCUUUUAGCCGGGAUGAUAAUGACGGUACCGGGAGAAUAAGCACCGGCUAACUCCGUG